AGCGAACGCUGGCGGUAGGCCUAACACAUGCAAGUCGAACGGCAGCACAGUAAGAGCUUGCUCUUACGGGUGGCGAGUGGCGGACGGGUGAGGAAUACAUCGGAAUCUACUUUUUCGUGGGGGAUAACGUAGGGAAACUUACGCUAAUACCGCAUACGACCUACGGGUGAAAGCAGGGGAUCUUCGGACCUUGCGCGAUUGAAUGAGCCGAUGUCGGAUUAGCUAGUUGGCGGGGUAAAGGCCCACCAAGGCGACGAUCCGUAGCUGGUCUGAGAGGAUGAUCAGCCACACUGGAAAUGAGACACGGUCCAGACUCCUACGGGAGGCAGCAGUGGGGAAUAUUGGACAAUGGGCGCAAGCCUGAUCCAGCCAUACCGCGUGGGUGAAGAAGGCCUUCGGGUUGUAAAGCCCUUUUGUUGGGAAAGAAAAGCAGCAGGUUAAUACCCCGCUGUUCUGACGGUACCCAAAGAAUAAGCACCGGCUAACUUCGUG
rnacentral:rRNA from 1 species